GGGAAAGUGAUGCAUGUGGGAAGUGAUUAGAGAAAGACGAGGUGAAUAAUAAAAUAUUGUAUCACUAACUAAAAUUAUGAAGAUUAAACCAUUAAACGAAAUAAUUGCUCUAACCGAUUGUAAAAUUAUCACGAAGUAUAUUAUUGGAUUAUUACCUUCUGACACAAUUUACUAUAAUGUGCCUCAAGUUCAUACCAGAAAGUAUCAUUUAUUAACAAUAGCUAAAUUCUGUACUAACAGAUUUCGCAAUUCUUUUUAUAUUCGCGCUGUAUCUAACUUUAAUAAGCAAUUGUCUUAACAUCGGUU
rnacentral:lncRNA from 1 species